UUUAGUUAAGUUAGAAAGGGCGCACGGUGGAUGCCUUGGCACUAGGAGCCGAUGAAGGACGGGACAAA
rnacentral:rRNA from 1 species